UUAAAGGGAAAGCUCACUUGGUGGUUUACAUUAAGGCAUGUGAUGGAAUAGGAGGAAAUUUAUACAAAGCUACCUUACUGGCAUAAGCAAUGGUUCAAAUCAGCAACCGGUGUGGGUACCAUCCAGACCUUUAAAGCUUUCACAGAUGGCUGAGGAAAACCUGAAGAAAGCAGGACAGCCUGUUCUGAGUAACUUGAUGAUAGCCAUGAUGGCAGUUAUCACCAUUACAUCUGCAGGUGCAGAUCCAGAGUCCUCUGAGAAAUAGCUCACCAAGAGAAAAGAUUUCAAGUCUGACUCAGAAUGUGGCAUGACAAUAUGUGACAGUCUUUUGAGGAACAAAUCGCAGUAUCCCCAAAUUGCCCAGGGUAAUCAAUGGCAACUGCCAGAUUGCAUUUGGAUCCAGGACAUUUCUUUGGCUAUGCUGGCUGGUCAUGUAAGAUCUGACAGAACAUGGGAAUGGUUGUAAGUGGCUGGAUAAAAACAAAAUGAAAAUAUGGGUUCCUGUUGAGCUGAAGAAGCUGAUGAGAAUUAUUCUGAAGAAAAAUGGCCACCAAAUUUUAAGUGCUAAUUUAAGAAGGACUGGCUGCUGCUUAGAUUGUUGAGUAUACUGAGUCUAAAUCAUGUAUUUAUGUAAAUUUAAACUCUAGAGUAGUUUUUUAAAAUAUAUCCAUCAUAAAACAGCUGUUUUCACUUGUCAUAGGUGAAACCACCAAAUUUUAAGUGCUAAUUUAAGAAGGACUGGCUGCUGCUUAGAUUGUUGAGUAUACUGAGUCUAAAUCAUGUAUUUAUGUAAAUUUAAACUCUAGAGUAGUUUUUUAAAAUAUAUCCAUCAUAAAACAGCUGUUUUCACUUGUCAUAGGUAAAACUACGGGCAAACAUUUAUGUGCAGGUGUGUUGUAGCAACAGAUCUUGUUAAUAGUGUAAGUGCUUAAGGAAUUUUUAGCACAGAUUCUGUGAGUUAAAAUUAUACUAUGGAAUGGUCAUGAAGCCUGAUUUCAUUCCUCAGCCCCACUGUCCAGUAGAAAAAUGAUUCUGAUUUAGUCUUUGAUAUGUGAUUUAUCUUCUUGGACACACAGAAGUGUUUGCCUUAUGUAGUAAUUAGGGCUUAACAUCUUUUGCCAAGUAAUUUUGUUUUUCUUCUGGAUUACAGUAAAAUUGUGUGGAAAUCAAUUCAAAAAGAAUUUGCUUGAUGCUAGUGCAUGAUGACAAGUGGAGGCAUUGGUAGUUCAUCCUGAAUAAAGGAAGAGAGCCUGUUCCUUAAGCAGAGUCCAUUCUGUCAGUGAAUUACCCCCAUUUCCAAAUGAACAUAAUGCAGUUGGGUCAGGGAGAAUAACAUAGUAGGCUCAGCAUAAUUUCAGUCUCCUCACUUUUCUUGACACCAUAUCCUAACACAAAGUUUUAUUGAAUGUUUACCUAAAAUUUCUCCCACAUUGGUUAGUUUCACUCCCGUGGUUUGAGACUGUGAUAGCAGAUGGGACAAACAAGUGCCUGGCCAUAACUUGAAAAAAAAAUCUGGGGAACAAUCUGUCCACAGGGUCUUUGAAAAGCUCUGAUAUAUUCCUGGUGAUCUAAAAGGUUGGAUAAAUGUGCAAGCUUGGGAAAGACCUGAGAGGGCCCUAGUCUCUCACCUCUGGCUCACUGGAGUUUCCGUGCAAGUAGGAGGUGAAGGCUAAGGCAGAGUUCUAAGCUGCCUGACUGUUGAGGGCAUGUCUUAACACACAUACAUACAUGUGGAGCAUAUCAGCAAAGAAUGGAAUAUUUAUUGGUUCAUGGAAUUUAAGGAAAUCUCUGUCGAAUCAUUAGCUGACCACUAAGCUAAUUGAGCAGAAACUUUAGUGGCUGUACAGUACAGGAAAUAAAGACUAUCAAAUUAGUCCCAGAAGGUCACUAUGCUAACAGAUAUCAGCAGCAGAAACAACAAAACAGCAAUAACAACAAACCCUAAGGGUGCGGGAAAU